rnacentral:rRNA from 1 species
AACGAACGCUGGCGGCAUGCCUAACACAUGCAAGUCGAACGGACUCUUCGGAGUUAGUGGCGCACGGGUGAGGAACACGUGGGAACAUACCCUUUGGUAGGGAAUAAUGUCUGGAAACGGGCACUAAUACCCUAUAAUGACUACGGUCCAAAGAUUUAUCGCCAAAGGAUUGGCCCGCGCAUGAUUAGAUAGUUGGUAAGGUAACGGCUUACCAAGUCUACGAUCAUUAGCUGGUCUGAGAGGAUGAUCAGCCACACUGGGACUGAGACACGGCCCAAACUCCUACGGGAGGCAGCAGUGGGGAAUCUUGCACAAUGGAGGAAACUCUGAUGCAGCGAUGCCGCGUGAGUGAAGAAGGCCUUUGGGUUGUAAAGCUCUUUCGCCUGUGAUGAUAAUGACAGUAGCAGGUAAAGAAACCCCGGCUAACUCCG